AGUGAACGCUGGCGGUAGGCCUAACACAUGCAAGUCGAACGGCAGCACAGUAAGAGCUUGCUCUUACGGGUGGCGAGUGGCGGACGGGUGAGGAAUACAUCGGAAUCUACUUUUUCGUGGGGGAUAACGUAGGGAAACUUACGCUAAUACCGCAUACGACCUACGGGUGAAAGCAGGGGAUCUUCGGACCUUGCGCGAUUGAAUGAGACGAUGUCGGAUUAGCUAGUUGGCGGGGUAAAGGCCCACCAAGGCGACGAUCCGUAGCUGGUCUGAGAGGAUGAUCAGCCACACUGGAACUGAGACACGGUCCAGACUCCUACGGGAGGCAGCAGUGGGGAAUAUUGGACAAUGGGCGCAAGCCUGAUCCAGCCAUACCGCGUGAGUGAAGAAGGCCUUCGGGUUGUAAAGCCCUUUUGUUGGGAAAGAAAAGCAGCAGAUUAAUACCCCGCUGUUCUGACGGUACCCAAAGAAAAAGCACCGGCUAACUUCGUG
rnacentral:rRNA from 1 species